rnacentral:ncRNA from 1 species
AGAAACAAAGUGAUCAGGAAAGUAUUUGUCGUUCGCCAAACAGAGAGCUGUUGGUUGGUGUGAAACAGUUGGGGAGACGACAAAGAAAAUGGCCUGUGAUUGGAAAUCGUAAGUGGCAAGUUCAUGAACGAUUUACGGGUUGGUCUCCGUUAACAGACACGCGUAUCGUCAUCGCAUCAUGUCGCGCUCUGACCGCACGUUGUAAGGUUGACCCGGGUAACUGGGGCAAUAAAGAUAGAAUGGUAACACGAUAAGCUCGUUUCUAUU